rnacentral:rRNA from 1 species
GCGCAGCAGGCGAGAAACCUCCUCAAUGCACUCACGUGCGAAGGGGUUACCUCGAGUGCCGCCUGAAGAAGGCGGCUUUUCCAUGGUCUAAAAAGCCUAGGGAAUAAGAGGGGGCAAGACUGGUGUCAGCCGCCGCGGUAACACCAGCCCCUCGAGUGGUGGGGAUGAUUAUUUGGCCUAAAGCGUCCGUAGCCGGCCGGGUAAGUCUCCCGUUAAAAUCCAGCGUCUCAGGCGUUGGACUGCGGGAGAUACUGUCUGGCUAGAGAGUGGGAGAGGUGUACCGGUAUUCGUGGGGUAGGGGCGAAAGUCCUUUGAUCCCCGGAGGACCACCGAGUGGCGAAGGCGUGUACACUAGAACACGUCUGACGGUCAGGGACGAAAGCUGGGGGUAGCGAACCGGAUUAGAGUACCCCGUGU